rnacentral:rRNA from 1 species
GACGAACGCUGGCGGCGUGCUUAACACAUGCAAGUCGAGCGGUAAGGCCCUUUCGGGGGUACACGAGCGGCGAACGGGUGAGUAACACGUGGGUGACCUGCCCUUAGCUCUGGGAUAAGCCUGGGAAACUGGGUCUAAUACCGGAUAUGACCUCAUGACUCAUGUUGUGGGGUGGAAAGCCUUGUGCGGCUAGGGAUGGGCCCGCGGUCUAUCAGCUUGUUGGUGGGGUAAUUGCCUACCAAGGCGACGACGGGUAGCCGGCCUGAGAGGGCGACCGGCCACACUGGGACUGAGACACGGCCCAGACUCCUACGGGAGGCAGCAGUGGGGAAUCUUGCGCAAUGGGCGAAAGCCUGACGCAGCAACGCCGCGUGGAGGAUGAAGGCCCUUGGG